UACGUAGGGUGCAGGCGUUAAUCGGAAUUACUGGGCGUAAAGCGUGCGCAGGCGGUUUCUUAAGUCUGCUGUGAAAGCCCUGGGCUCAACCUGGGAAUGGCGGUGGAUACUGAGAAGCUGGAGUACGGUAGAGGAAGGUGGAAUUCCGGGUGUAGCGGUGGAAUGCGUAGAGAUCCGGAAGAACACCGGUGGCGAAGGCGGCCUGCUGGGCAGUUGCUGACACUGAGGCGCGACAGCGUGGGGAGCAAACAGG
rnacentral:rRNA from 1 species